AAAAAAUUGACCUCCAGAGAUUCUCUUUCCUGAAGAAACCCUCCAAAAGACAAGAGGAAAGUUUGCCUUUUCUGCUCCCUUCUUGGAAAGAUGCAAAGUGCUUUAGUAGGCUCCUGGCACAACAAUGGCUUCUAUGGGCACUACAGAAGCCAAUUCAAGAGUGAAAGUGCUAGAGAAUACCGCCUUGCAGCCAAGCCCCAGCCUCCAGCAGUGUUCCUGCAGCGAUGUCAGUUCCUCAGGUUGGACAGGAAUCCUGUCUGGUUGGGUGCAUGUUCUUCACCUGUGGUGCCAUGACUGCUGAGCCCUUGCUGCCAUCCCAUUCCUCAGUUUGCCAAGGAGCUUCCUCUCUUAGUGCAGACUGCCCAGCCUCCACAGGGGCCCUUAGCCCUCCCACAUGCAAAUACUGCCCCUUCCAAAGAAGCCCACCUCUCUUCCAAGUCCUCUUAAGAUGGAAUCCCAGUCCUAGCUCUACCUGCUCAGAAACCAUGGAUUUUACCACCUCGUUGGAAAAGGAGCCUUGAAUGAUUAAGAAACAAAGAUGCUAGUGAUC
rnacentral:lncRNA from 1 species